GACGAACGCUGGCGGCGUGCCUAAUACAUGCAAGUCGAGCGGACAGAAGGGAGCUUGCUCCCGGAAGUUAGCGGCGGACGGGUGAGUAACACGUGGGCAACCUACCCUGUAGAUCGGGAUAACAUCGAGAAAUCGGUGCUAAUACCGGAUAAUCAUUUGAAGUGCAUGCUUCGAAUGUAAAAGAUGGCUCCGGCUAUCACUACGGGAUGGGCCCGCGGCGCAUUAGCUAGUUGGUAAGGUAAUGGCUUACCAAGGCAACGAUGCGUAGCCGACCUGAGAGGGUGAUCGGCCACACUGGGACUGAGACACGGCCCAGAUUCCUACGGGAGGCAGCAGUAGGAAAUCUUCCGCAAUGGACGAAAGUCUGACGGAGCAACGCCGCGUGAGUGAUGAAGGUUUUCGGAUCGUAAAGCUCUGUUGUUAGGGAAGAACAAGUGCCGUUUGAAUAAGGCGGCACCUUGACGGUACCUAACCAGAAAGCCACGGCUAACUACGUGCCAGCCGCCGCCGUAAAAC
rnacentral:rRNA from 1 species